AGCAGCCGCGGUAAUUCCAGCUCCAAUAGCGUAUAUUAAAGUUGUUGCAGUUAAAAAGCUCGUAGUUGAACUUCGGGAUCAAUGGGUCGGUCGUGCCCUCGGUACAUACUGGCUUUAUUGGUUCUCACCUUCUAAUGAACCAUAAUGUCAUUCAUUUGAUGUUAUGGGGAAUUAGGACUGUUACCUUGAAAAAAU
rnacentral:rRNA from 1 species